UAUACGACCGUACCGCAAACCGACACUGGUGCGCGAGAUGAGUAUUCUAAGGCGCUUGAGAGAACUCAGGAGAAGGAACUCGGCAAAUUGACACCGUAACUUCGGAAGAAGGUGUGCCCUAUUAGUGUGUAGUGAACAACGAAGCAUGAAUGGGUUGCAAAAAAUCGGUGGCUGCGACUGUUUAUUAAAAACACAGCACUCUGCAAACACGAAAGUGGACGUAUAGGGUGUGACGCCUGCCCGGUGCUGGAAGAUUAAAUGAUGGGGUGCAAGCUCUUGAUUGAAGUCCCAGUAAACGGCGGCCGUAACUAUAACGGUCCUAAGGUAGCGAAAUUCCUUGUCGGGUAAGUUCCGACCUGCACGAAUGGCGUAACGAUGGCCACACUGUCUCCUCCUGAGACUCAGCGAAGUUGAAAUGUUUGUGAUGAUGCAAUCUCCCCGCGGAAAGACGGAAAGACCCCAUGAACCUUUACUGUAGCUUUGUAUUGGACUUUGAACAGAUCUGUGUAGGAUAGGUGGGAGGCUUUGAAGCAGGGUCGCUAGAUCUUGUGGAGCCAACGUUGAAAUACCACCCUGGUGUGUUUGAGGUUCUAACCUAGGACCAUUAUCUGGAUCGGGGACAGUGCAUGGUAGGCAGUUUGACUGGGGCGGUCUCCUCCCAAAGCGUAACGGAGGAGUUCGAAGGUACGCUAGUUACGGUCGGACAUCGUGACGAUAGUGCAAUGGCAUAAGCGUGCUUAACUGCGAGACUGACAAGUCGAGCAGAUGCGAAAGCAGGACAUAGUGAUCCGGUGGUUCUGUAUGGAAGGGCCAUCGCUCAACGGAUAAAAGGUACUCUGGGGAUAACAGGCUGAUACCGCCCAAGAGUUCAUAUCGACGGCGGUGUUUGGCACCUCGAUGUCGGCUCAUCUCAUCCUGGGGCUGUAGCCGGUCCCAAGGGUAUGGCUGUUCGCCAUUUAAAGAGGUACGUGAGCUGGGUUUAAAACGUCGUGAGACAGUUUGGUCCCUAUCUUCCGUGGGCGCUGCAGAUUUGAGGAAGCCUGCUCCUAGUACGAGAGGACCGGGGUGGACACACCUCUGGUGUAUCGGUUGUCACGCCAGUGGCAUUGCCGAGUAGCUAAGUGGGGAAGAGAUAACCGCUGAAAGCAUCUAAGCGGGAAACUCGUUUCAAGAUGAGAUCUGCCGGGGCCUUGAGCCCCCUAAAGAGUCGUUCAAGACCAGGACGUUGAUAGGUCAGGUGUGGAAGC
rnacentral:rRNA from 1 species